CGUCGCACUUCCACUCCACUUCUUACAGUUAGGCAUUCAGAGAACAAUUUUACAGUAUUUCUACUAUUUUCACAACAACUUUACACACCUUCAGUUACAAUAUUUAUCAUGUACAUUGCACAAAUUACUUAAUCUCUGUUCAAAAGAGGAUUAUCAAUUUAAAGUGUUUUAAACAAUGGUUCUUUAAAAGCAGGAGCUUGAAUCGAUGUAAUAUACCUGCUCAGAUGACACUGUCUCAUCAGCUACCUCUCACGUUCGCAAGGAAAAUUUCUAAACACUGUGCUGGUGCUAGUAUAAAUUGAACUGUUGAAUUGCACAACAGCACAAUCGUCAAAGUAUCGUAAACUAGUAAACAUCUUUAGCGGAUUUUGCUAAACUAAAAAGUGACAAGAUCGCUAUUAUAAUAAUUAUGACUGAAGUUACGGAAAUUGAGUUAUUAAAAAACAAAGAAAACGAAAUUAAAGCAGGCACCACCAUAAUGCCUAGUAAUCUUAACAUCAUCGGUUGUCCAAGACCAGGUGGAGCUCUGCAAUGUCUGGCCGAUCUUGCCGCAGCCAUCGCAGCUGAGGACCUAAUCGACAACAGCGAUAGUGAUUAUGACGACGAGAGCGACACAGAAUCGGAUGACAGUGAUUAUUUUAGUAUCGACAUACCCUUCCGGGCCCGUAGGGCAUCCUUGCCAGCUGUCAUUGAAGCACAAAAAGUAACUGAGGCCGCAACUGCUGCCAUGAGGAAGUUGUGGACCCAACGCAUGGCACGUCGAUCCAUGUAUUUGUAGAGCACCCGCUACUUUUAAUACUUGGAGAGUGGAUGAAUAUACAUGUAUAGAUUUUUAUUAUUUAUUGUUGUUUUAUUGAAUGUGACUCAAAAUCCAUGCUUUAAAAAAUGUUCAU